UCAACCUGUCAGCGCAGCAAGAAGUCGAACACACGUAUAUGCGGGCGCGCGCCUCCGUCCUCGUGAGUUCAAAGUGGAUUUUAACCGUUUACCUCAGACGACAGUUUUCAUUUCUAUGGCAAAUUCUAAGGUCAUUUUCUUGUUGUGUUUUGAUGUUUUCCAUUGGCUGAAGAGCAGAUUACCAUGCAAUUUGAAGAAGUGUGAUAAAAUACACAGAGGUGAAGUCAUGUGUCUUUCCAGAUGCCCAAUCUGUACCACUCAAAAAGUAAUGAAGUGACAGUGUACCAUGACAAAAAAUCUAAGAUGAGCCUUUGCUUUGCCAGAUCACCUGUGGUCGAGAUGUCUGCUAACAAGAUGCCUUGUUGGUCUGGUCGAGUUUGAAAUCUCUCACAGACAGUCCAGAAGGUCUGGAGUCCAUCUUAGCUUUUAUUGAACCCAUCAGCAACCAUCAAGAGAAAUUGGAGGCAGCUGAGCUAAAUUGCAGAUAUUGAUGCAAAUGAUCUGUAUAAUAUGCUUUCAUCGGGUUUUAAGUACAGUAUGAGCCAGAAUGGAAGGGUGUUGGUGGCCAUAAGAAGACUGUGAGCUAAACCUACAACAAAAUUCAUAUUUGCAGUUUUCCUAUAUUUUUUUUCUAUUCAGAUGAAUAAAAUGACUUUUAAAUAUUAUUUUGUUUUCAUAUUUUAUGUUUUUAUUCUGUAUUUGGAAUAUUCAACUUCCGCACUACUAACUGGAAACCUAACUGUUUGAAAGAAUUUGUUUUUAUCUAUAAAAGAUCAAUUUUAACAGCU